GGGACCGAGGUGUUACGGCAGCAUCGCUGGCUCUUAACCAGUCGGGUCGGGGUUCGAAUCCCUGCGGUCUCA
rnacentral:tRNA from 1 species